rnacentral:lncRNA from 10 species
CAUCGUCAUUCAGAUUAUAAUGGUUCCUUUUACUCUGAUAAUAUUGCUGAUAUUUCUAGAAAUAGCUUGUUCAUCCAUUUAUUAAUCUCAUAAACCCCUGACUGGGGGAAACAGAGUGGAAAGUGGUCAGAAAUGGGGCUGGAACAGUAAUCAGGAAGCCGGAACCUCCAUUGCCUCAAGAGCUAAGUUCAGUGUCAGGCCUUUGUCUCGAGGGCAACGGGGAACUCUGUAAAGGUAUUUAAGUUGGGGAAUGUAGUGAUCAGCAGCAUUUGGCAGCAAUCACCCUGGGCUGGAGUGGGCCUGACAGGAAUGGGCAAAUCUUGGGGCAGGAAAUCCAGUCAGAAGAUUAUGACGAUAAAGCAGGUGAGAGAUGUUGGUGUCCCAAGGGCAAAGGGGGAUCCCAUCAAGACAUGAGAACCGCCACGUCGUUCUUUCCCCAAUCCCACUGUUUCUAGAUUUUUCCUUCUAGGAGGCCUGCAAAUGUGUUUCCGGGAGGAAAAUCCGUCCCUGCUAUUUCUCCAGCCUUCCCUUGUUACCGGUCCGGCCCUGCCCCUUUAACAUUCAGGAAUGAGAGUGGAAGCAGAAGGCCCAGGUCCCCGGAGGUCCCGACGCCCGGAUUCCACAGCCUGUGAGGGUCCCUUGAGCAGAGCGGGACGAGGCCACUGGCACUACGUCGUGACUUCACCAACAGCCUGCAGUACUCGUUAACGAGAUUUCGCCAGGCCCCUUGGACUAACGCCAGGAUUCUCGGUGCCCGCAGUCAGCGCUCUGGGAUUAGACAACGCCCCACAGGCCGCGGCUCUCUGCUGACCCUCAGCAGCGAUGAGACCGGCGCGCACAAGCCAGCAGCCACUAGCUCUCCCACAAGGCCGAGCGCGGCCAAAGGGCAGCCCCGCCCGCUCCGCCUCCCCCAGCUCUAUUGGCUAGUGCACCUGCCACUCAGCCGCGCGCCGGACUCCGGCUUCGGGCCUGGAGGAGGGAUCCCAAGCCUCCUCGGCUCGGCUCGGCUCGGCUCGGCUCGGCUCGGCUCGGCUCGGCUCGGCUCGGCUCGGCUCGGCUCGGCUCGGCUCGGCUCGGCUCGGCUCGGCUCGGCUCGGCUCGGCUCGGCUCGGCUCGGCUCGGCUCGGCUCGGCUCGGCUCGGCUCGGCUCGGCUCGGCUCGGCUCGGCUCGCUUGUCCUUGAGGUUUACUGUGUUUGGCAUCGCAGUUCCGACGGCAGCCGCCGUUUCGCGACCCACGGCGGACUUGCAUAAACACUUUCUAGUUGGAAUCUCACCCUGUGAGGUGGGCAAGGUAGUGAUAUUCCUGUUUGACGCCGACAGAAAUAAGAGAGAUUGACUCUCAGAACCAUGUGGCGGGAUUUUAAAGGAGGAUCUUAACAGUGGCUCGGACAGACCCGUGUUUUCUGCUCCUAGCAUUAACUACGUCGUUAAACCCUUCUGAAUUUAUUUCGUCUGUGAAAUGGGGAAAAGAUAGCCACCUUGCAUAACUGGUGAAGAAUUCGUAAACUGACAGCAGAAUCUAGUAAGAGGACUGGCCCGUGGUCGGCUCUUAAUGGUGUCACAGAAUAAAGAAAAAGACUGGGAGAGAGAUGGGAGCUGAUAGACCAGAGGAGACCAAAGACUGAAACUGAAGACUAAACCAUGGAAAUUGGGAACAAGCACUUACUCGCUUAGAGGGUGAAAAAAGUGAAUUUGCCUACAGGGCCAAUUUGGAAGCACCUCUCCCUGGAAGCCAGUCAAUGAAGAGCCAUUGGAGGAUUUUAAAUAAGGAACCGAAAAAUGGAGUCUGAAAAUAGAGGCGCAGAGACCGGUCAACCACAAUGAAGAACAAGCCAUUUUGACCUCCAUCCUGGCUCAUCUCCUCUGUGUUCUCAUAGCAUCAUAUUAUAGAAUGGAUCACAAACGCCUUUGCAGUUGCCUAUUUAUUUGUCCAUUUCUCCCUCCAGACUGUUCUUCCCCAAACCAUCAUGGACCAGUUGGACUCUGAGAAGAAAAGUUUCUGAUCUUUAGUUCAUUCUUCCAACUCUCUAGAAAGCAGGAAAACUGAGAAUGAAAAAUUCUAAAUUACUCAGGACUCAUGGGUUGCCAAUAGAAGAAAUACAUCUUAAACUAGCUUAAGCCUGAAAGGGAAAUGUAUUUGUUCAUGUAACUGAACCAUAACGAAGGAUGGUGGACUGAGGGACCUGAAAACACCCUCAGGACUCCCUCCCUCUCCUUUGUGCUCCUGUCUGAUGCCGUCUUCCCAGACCUGCUCACUCUCCAUAAGGUGGGGAUGUGGCCAUCAGCAACGUGUACUUCCCCGAAGCUUGUGACCUGAGUAGAUAGGCAUCUCCCAACCCACAAGGAUUGAAAAGUUCCUCUAGGAAUUAUGUGGAUUGGCCCAUUCACUAUGACAUGUUCCCCCUAAGCAGCUAAAGGAACUGGGUCUGUUACCAGAAGAGGUGGGAGAGGGGUGCUAGGCAGAUUGAACAACAGCCACUACAACAUCUGAGGAGGAGACCUCCGUGAAGGCCACCAAGUCUGCUAGCAGAUAUUUCCUCCCUCGGAUCUCUCUCCCUGUCCUCACAGUCUCAUAAGUGAGGAUUAAAUACUACAUGUGGCCUAGGAGAUCUUAGACCCUCCACACGAAGAUAUAGUAACAAUCAACAUCCUAGUGUUCUGGCAGAGAAAAAAUCAGAAAGAAUCGUUUGCCUGAUUUUUCCAUCAAUACCAAUAAUUAAUUAGAGAUGAAAUUUGUGAUGGACUCAGAGAAUUAGAGAAGAUCUAAGGGAAUCUAGAUGAUUUCCUACCCCUAACCAGAGCCUCACAAAAAAGGGUGAAGAUCUAUGGCCGUCUUGCGUUUGGUGUGAGGCUGGACAAGGAAGUUCCUAAGGUCCUUUAGACUCUGUGAGAUCAUGAGUCCGUAAAACCCUUCCAACUUGAAAUUAGUUGAUUCCUUCCUUAAAUUUUCUGGGACAUUCCCCCACUCCCUCCACUCUUAUUAGCUGAUUUUACUGACCAAUAGGCCUUGAAGUUGGGCGUUCCAUCUAGAUGUCUCACAUCAACUCACCUUUUGCAAAUUAAGCCCAUACCCUUAAAGAGGGGAAUUCUCAAGCCAUUAGAAACUAGAGAGUCAGCUGGGCAUGGUGGCUCACGCCUGUAAUCCCAGAACUUUGGGAGGCCAAGGUGGGUGGAUCACUUGAGGUCAGGAGUUCGAGUCCAGCCUGACCAACAUGGCGAAACCCCGUCUCUACUAAAAAUACAAAAAUUAGCCAGGGGUGAUGGCAUGCACCUGUAAUCCCAGCUACUCAGGAGGCUGAGGCAGGAGAAUUGCUUGAACCUGGGAGGCGGAGGUUGCAGUGAGCCAAGUUUGCACCACAGCACUCCAGCCUGGGCAACAGAGUGAGACUCAGUUUCAAAAAACAAAAGAACAAACAAACAAAAACUAGAGGGUCUCCUCUUAGUUCUUAAACCCUCUUAGUCAACAUUUGUGAGCCUCUUUUCUGUAUGUUUUGGCAUCUUUAUUCCUUUCCUUCGUGUCUUGACCAAAUUCACCAGAUCAUGACUCAGAACAAAAUCCUGAGGUUGAAUAUAGAGGUCUAGAACAUCUUCAAAUUAACUGUUUCUCCUCAUAGAGAAUUAAAGAAAUUGAGAAAGCAAGAG